AGAAAGCAGCUGAUUACCACGGACACGCAAAAAGCCUACUGCAUUAUAGAAAAUCUUCUUUGAUGUCAAUCCACAGUCUGCCAAAUCAUAUCGAUUGUUAACCAUUUUACCCCCAAUUAAGUCCCUAUGUAGAAAGGCUGCUGUUUGAGGACCAAGCCCAGAGACAAAUUGGAGGGGAGCUAAAAGCCAGUCGUGGCUCAU
rnacentral:misc_RNA from 1 species